CAGUAGCCGCGGUAAAACGUAGGGUGCAAGCGUUAAUCGGAAUUACUGGGCGUAAAGCGUGCGCAGGCGGUUCGUUAAGACAGAUGUGAGAUCCCCGGGCUUAACCUGGGAACUGCAUUUGUGACUGGCGGGCUAGAGUAUGGCAGAGGGGGGUAGAAUUCCACGUGUAGCAGUGAAAUGCGUAGAGAUGUGGAGGAAUACCGAUGGCGAAGGCAGCCCCCUGGGCCAAUACUGACGCUCAUGCACGAAAGCGUGGGGGGCAAACAGGAUUAGAUACCCCUGUAGUCCCUGUCUCUUAUAC
rnacentral:rRNA from 1 species